rnacentral:rRNA from 1 species
AGUGAACGCUGGCGGCGUGCUUAACACAUGCAAGUCGAACGAGAACGGAAUAUAGCUUGCUAUAUUUGUCAGCUAAGUGGCGCACGGGUGAGUAAUGUAUAGAUAACCUGCCCUUAAGAAAGGAAUAACAGUUGGAAACGACUGCUAAUGCCCCAUAUGCCUUUAAUACAUAAGUAUGCAAGGGAAACGCUUUAGUGCUUAAGGAUGGGUCUGUAUGGUAUCAGCUUGUUGGUGAGGUAAUGGCUCACCAAGGCUCUGACGCCUACCUGGUUUGAGAGGAUGAUCAGUCACACUGGAACUGAGACACGGUCCAGAUUCCUACGGGGGGCAGCAGUGGGGAAUAUUGCACAAUGGACGAAAGUCUGAUGCAGCAACGCCGCGUGGAGGAUGACACAUUUCGGUGCGUAAACUCCUUUUAUAUAGGAAGAUAAUGACGGUACUAUAUGAAUAAGCACCGGCUAACUCCGUGCCAGCCGCCGCAGUAACAC